AAUGAACGUUGGCGGCAUGGAUUAGGCAUGCAAGUCGCGCGGGCGUAGCAAUACGUCAGCGGCGCAAGGGACAGGAACACGUAGACUACCUGCCCUCGGGUCUGGGAUAGCCACGGGAAACUGUGGGUAAUACCAGAUGAUAUCUCCGGAUCAAAGGUGUGAUUCCGCCCGAGGAUGGGUCUGCGUCCUAUUAGCUAGUUGGUGAGGUAAUGGCUCACCAAGGCGAUGAUGGGUAGCAGGUGUGAGAGCACGACCUGCGUCAUUGGGACUGAGACACUGCCCAGACACCUACGGGUGGCAG
rnacentral:rRNA from 1 species